CCUACGGGCGGCAGCAGUGGGGAAUAUUGGACAAUGGACGAGAGUCUGAUCCAGCCAAGUAGCGUGAAGGAUGACUGCCCUAUGGGUUGUAAGCUUCUUUUAUAUGGGAAUAAGAUUUUCCACGUGUGAGAUUUUGUAUGUACCAUAUGAAUAAGGAUCGGCUAACUCCGUGCCAGCAGCCGCGGUAAGACGGAGGAGCCGAGGGUUAUCCGGAUUUAUUGGGUUGAAAGGGAACGUAGGUGGAUUGUUAAGUCAGUUGUGAAAGUCUGGGGCUGAACCGUAAAAUUGCAGUUGAAACUGGUCGUCUUGAGUACAGUAGAGGUGGGUGGAAUUCGAGGUGUAGCGGUGAAAUGCUUAGAGAUCAGGAAGAACUCCGAUUGCGAAGGCAGCUCACUGGACUGCAACUGACACUGAGGCUCGAAAGUGUGGGUAUCAAACAGGAUUAGAUACCCGAGUAGUC
rnacentral:rRNA from 1 species